GAUGAAGAACGCAGCGAAAUGCGAUAAGUAAUGUGAAUUGCAGAAUUCAGUGAAUCAUCGAAUCUUUGAACGCACAUUGCGCCCGCCAGUAUUCUGGCGGGCAUGCCUGUUCGAGCGUCAUUUCAACCAUCAGGCGCCUAGCUUGUGUUGGGGCCCUGCGGCUGCCGCAGGCCCCUAAAUCCAGUGGCGGGCUCGUCGUCGUACCGAGUGCAGUAAACAUCCUCGCUCAGGGAACCCGACGGGUGCCGGCCGUGAAACCCCCCCUCCUCAAGGUUGACCUCGGAUCAGGUAGGAAUACCCGCUGAACUUAAGCAUAUCAAUAAGCGGAGGA
rnacentral:misc_RNA from 1 species